AUAGCGUUAGGACUUCUGCCGCCGGUCCCAUUUCGCUGACCUUGGAGUCGAUUGCCAGCUUGUCGAGGCACCGGAGUAGCGGCGAAUACGGCGGCUGCCGCUGGUCGUCAUCCUUGGUCCGCUUGCUGCCAUCCACCACAACCAAAUAAUUAGGCAAGGUGCAUACGAACAUACACGAUGUCUACGAGGAGGUCCACUUGCAUAGGCAGUGCUUUGAGUUCAUCCACCGCACCGCCACAACAAAUUUUCACUCAGGGGAUCGUUUUCACUGUCCGUGGAGCAAGAAAGAAGUUUCAAAGACUCGGUACAAGGAAGAUCAAAGUAUCCAUGGAUGUGAGACAUAUGAAUGCAUGACGCUUGAGUUUCUUAGCACUCUCUCGCACAAUGUUAGUCUAAUGCCCAAUGCAUACGAGGAGGAGUGAACCACUUUCUGUUUGGACCAAGACUUCAACAUCACUUUUCAAGAGUGGUGUAAUUACUUUGGCUUCCCCAACAAUGAUGAAGACAUCCGCUAUAUUUAUGAGUUUAUUGACCCGUACCCGAGGCAAUCCUUCUACCAGAUGAGUUGCCAUGGCUCAAGGCAAAGAGCCAGUUGCAUUGAGAGUCUUGCUAUACAUCAUUUCUAUUAUGUUAUCACUAACUCGUUGCAGGCACGAGGAGAAGUUUCUAAGGUGAAUGAUGAGAACAUGCUAGUUCUCGGGAAAGAAGCAAACCUUGACGUCGGUUAUUCGCCCAACUUAGGGGCAAUACUUUUGCACCUCGCACAUCAAGAAAAUCAUGCACAAGGAGAUAUCGUGUGUGGAGGAGUGAUCACCAUGUUGGCCAAUUCCCUUGGCCUCAACUACAAUCAGCUUCACCCCAUAGUCGGAAGGAGAUGCAGCUGUUGACCAAGAAGGCCCAGAACCUGAGAAGGUAGAUGAAGAAGAACUCGUCACCGAUGAAGAAGAGGAGCAGCCACAACAAGAAAACUACGCCACCUAUGCAAACCUUAUGCGGAUCUCUGCAGUCUCCAGGGCUCUAUUAAUGAUAUGAGCAACCUCGCCACGUCCCUUCGAGGCACGUCCACCUACAUGAACAUGAGCUUCUCCAACUGGAGCCAAGAAUGGGCUCCUGACAGAUGUCUGCUAGAACUACGUUGGUAUUUCCCCAAAGAGGAAGGGAUGAUGCAGCAUAGCGACGGUAGGUAUUUCCCUCAGUGAUGAGACCAAUAUU